CUGAAAUCCACUUCCCAGUAGAGCAAAGCACCUCACUGCUAUAACUACUGUAUACCUCUCACUACUUGUUCCUAAUCCCACAUCCUCCUCAUCACCAGAGUUCAAAUAAAUCUUUAUUUAAUCUUUAUUACUGAUAAUAAAUCUAAUCUAGAGAGCAAGUUAGACACGUUAGUUAGACAUUACUAGCUAGGACUGGGAAGAGCUUUGUUCUGGUUAGUGAUUUUUAUUAGAAAGCUGUUUCAUCACAUCACUGAGUUAUUUAUUUAUUGAGGUUUAUUUGAAAAGGGACCAUGUACAAUUAUAAACAUAAAUGCGUCCAUUUAAUGCAUCGUACCGAAUUUAGCCAAAAGGCUAAUUUUCAUCCGUCCCUUGGCAGGUUUUGUUACUGUUGUAUAUAAUUGGGUUGUGGCCCCUUUAAGAAAAGUACAAGUAAGGAGUUACGUCACAUGACCUGUAGUCAGGAAGCAAUCAAGCGCGACAGAGAGUAGUGUGUUCAGCAUCUGUUAUAGUAAUAAAUCUGCGAUAUUUGUUUACUUCUUGCUUUGUAGUAGCAUCGUGGUUUCACCUUUCUUGCAAACGUCAUUAAACCUGUGGACAAGGAGAUUAUCGUCUUCAGAGUCUUGAUGUUGGGAAAGUGUUUAUCUGGCUGUCAAGUUAUAUUCAGGACAUAUACUGAGGGCAGCACACAGGCAUGCGUUCCCAACUUCCUGUUUCCUCCAUUUUAUGCUGGUCAGCCCUAUAUAAGCCAGCGGGCUGCACAUGCUCCUUGUCAGAUGGUCUCUUCAGUCUGCCUUGUGCUCCUGAUUAGUCCUCCUGCCUUUUCUUCAGUUCCAGUCUGCCUGGUUUAGACUCUGUCUGUUCCUGAAGCUGACUUCUGCUCUGUUCCUGCCUGCUUUGUCUCUGCCUUGAUUCUGUUACAGAUUCUGGAUUAUUGGACUGGGUUCUGUUACUGAUUCUGGAUUAUUGGACUGGAUUCUGUUACUGAUUCUGGAUUAUUGGACUGGAUUCUGGUACUGAUUCUGCCCAGCCUGCUUUACCCUGGUUUUCGGUUGUUCUAUGGUUGUUAUCUGAGAACUCUGCCAUUUCCAGUGCUUGCCUUUAUUAAAGACUCUUAUUUUGAACUUUGACUGUGUUUUGCAUUUGGGUCCUCACCUGCCUACCCUGACACUAUCUCUCUAAACCAGGGGUCUCCAACUGUUUCUUCCUCUGAGAGCUUGUUAUAUUAUUUGUAAUAUUUAUUUACACAGCUUAUUACCAUAAACUAAACCAGCUGAAUCAGAACAAUCAGUUUCUAGAUUCUACAUGUGUUCAUUUAUAUAUGCAGAGUUUAUUCUC